AGUGAACGCUGGCGGUAGGCCUAACACAUGCAAGUCGAACGGCAGCACAGUAAGAGCUUGCUCUUACGGGUGGCGGGUGGCGGACGGGUGAGGAAUACAUCGGAAUCUACUUUUUCGUGGGGGAUAACGUAGGGAAACUUACGCUAAUACCGCAUACGACCUACGGGUGAAAGCAGGGGAUCUUCGGACCUUGCGCGAUUGAAUGAGCCGAUGUCGGAGUAGCUAGUUGGCGGGGUAAAGGCCCACCAAGGCGACGAUCCGUAGCUGGUCUGAGAGGAUGAUCAGCCACACUGGAACUGAGACACGGUCCAGACUCCUACGGGAGGCAGCAGUGGGGAAUAUUGGACAAUGGGCGCAAGCCUGAUCCAGCCAUACCGCGUGGGUGAAGAAGGACUUCGGGUUGUAAAGCCCUUUUGUUGGGAAAGAAAAGCAGCAGGUUAAUACCCCGCUGUUCUGACGGUACCCAAAGAAUAAGCACCGGCUAACUUCGUG
rnacentral:rRNA from 1 species